AUCGAUCGAUCGUUUCCUCUUUUUUUCUCUUGCCUUCGUGAAGCCCAGAUGGGGUAGGUUUACGAGGGGAUUAGGCUCCUCCUCCGGGGAAUUUGCAGGAAGAGCCGAAGAACCUCCGAUCUCUUACCCGAUCCAUUGUUCGAAAUCCCCAGUCAAAGCCCCUUCGUCCUUUGUCUACCUGGUUCUAACCGACCUAAACCUCCAACCUUCUCACCUCCCCCGAUCGGCCUCCACACCGACCAGCAGUCGCGAUUAGGUAUCAGAGCUCCGACUCCUCUCAGAUCCUGCUCGGCCCUGACCUCACCCAUCCUGAUUUCACUUGCUUCUAUCAGUCCUCGAAUCCAAGCCUGACUCCGGCCAGAUCCUGAUGCCUGCACAUGUGAAGCCCAUCCGAUCUGCUAUCACACCAGACCAUCUUGAUCCACCUCCCAGCUGCCGUCUACCGAUGCCGGAUCACGCCUCAGCCGAGCUUCCUCCCUCCUAGCCACCAACUCGCCGUUGAGCAUCCUCAAGCAGGUGGGCUUGAGAGAGCCAUGGUAUCUGAAUCAGUUGGUGUCAGCCCUAGUCAGAAGACUUCAUCGGGUCUCCCUCUUACUUCCUCUCCUUUUCGCAGAUCUAUGACGUCGGAGCCCUAAACCCAUCCACUAGUAGAUCCUGCUCGCUUCUACCUCUCUCUGGGCAAUACAAGGUAAUGCAAGUUAGUAAAGUUAUUUAUUUCACUUGGUAAAAAAUCAUCAAGUUUAGGCUGGCAUAACCUCAGUGGAUGAUAACAUAUUAUGUAUUGCAAAUGAUAGAGAACACUUAAAAAUCUUAGUAUCAUAGUCAAAUUCCGACCAUCAAUCUAUAUAUAUCGAAGAUGUGUCAAAUAUUUAAUCUUCUCAGGUAUCAUUUUCAAGUUUUGAGCACAUAUUUAAUAAGCGUAUGUUUCUCGAUGCUUUGAAUAUUUCAAUAAGUGCAUUGCAAAUAUCCUUAGUAGAAGUUAGUUUAAUUGAUAAAAAACUUUAAAAUUAAUGUUAAGAUAUGAAAUUUCAAUUCUUUCAUUAUCUUUCAUUAUCAGUUAACGUUUUUAUAAGCGAAGAGAAAUAAAAAUGCAAAUGCAAAGAAUUUAUGUGUUUCAGUUUUAUAAUUUUACUACUUAGAGAUCUCAACUAAGAUAUGAAGUUAUCUAUUAGAACAAACGUAUUAGUUGCAAGACAAUCAUUGAAUAUAACUAUACUCUCACAUCAUGUGAUGUUUGAAGUUAUCAGUUCAAAUUUUAUAUCUUAACAUUAAUUUUAAAAUUUUGUAACAAUUAAACUAACUUCUAAUUAAGAUAUUUGCAAUGCACUUAUUGAAAUAUUUAAAGCAUCGAGAACCUUAUGUUUAUUAAACAUGUGCUCCAAACAUGUAAAUGAUAUCUGAGGAGAUUGUAUAUUUGAUACAUUUUCGAUAUAUAUAGAUUGAUGGUCGAAAUUUGACUAUGUUACUAAGAUUUCCAUGUAUUCUUUAUCAUUUGCAAUGCAUAAUCUGUUAUCAUCCAUUGAGGUUAAACCAGCCCAAACUUGAUGGUUUUUUACCAAGUAAAAUAAAUAACCUUACUAACUUGUUUACUUAUAUUAUAAAUAAAUUUGUUAUCAUCCACUGAGUUUAAGCCAGCCUAAACUAAGUUGUACCUUUUACCAAGUUAAAGUAAUUAUGUUCAUGUUUAUGAUAAGAAAAAUAGAUAGUUCAUGAAAAAGACUAAUCAUGAUUAAAAAAAAUAGAGUGUGCGGCCUCUAUAAAUCCUAAUGAGUGCCCACAUAGUGUUUGCAGGCA